CGGAGCCGUAUGAUGCGGAAGUCUCACGUACGGUUCCCUGAGAAGGGAGUGGCUACCCACUGGAGCUUCGACCAACUACCACCGGUCAANUGGCUACCCACUGGAGCUUCGACCAACUACCACCGGUCAAUUCCGCUUUGGGGCCACCCCUGACUCUAC
rnacentral:ncRNA from 1 species